GGCAAUUGAAGUGUCCAGAUUAUAUAAAGGCUGACUUAGGGGAAAAAAUUAUAUACGAAGAAGAUCAAAAAGUCAAUUAACACAAAAAUGUUUUAGGUCUCUAAGUCGCCAAGGAAAUUCAAGUACAAUUAGAUACCAUUUUAUACAAUCAUAAUACCAAGGAUAGGCAAAAAUCUUGAAAAAAAAACUUUUCAUUACUUUAGUAAAGUUGAAAUUACGCAUUGCUGGAGUUCCUUUUGUGGCACAGUGGAAGCUAAUCCAACUAAUACCCAUGGGGAUGGAUCGAACCUGCAUCCUCAUGGAUACUAGUUAGAUUCGUUUCCUCUGCGCCACAACGGGAACUCCCAAAUACAGAUUUUAUAUUUAUAAAAUUCACUUUCCAUAGUAAGAAGGCCUGGGAGUUUAUAGUACUGCAUCUAAAUAUGUAAUAUUCAGAGUUGUAGUGAUUAGCAUUAUCGAUUGAUUCCUUUUUAAAGGGAGUCGCGUGUUUUACGUAUUUCUAAUUUCACAAUUUUAUUUCUGAGAAAAAGUUAUUGUUCCCACAGUAUAUUGUCUAAACAAUAAGACAUCCACAGGGUGGAUUCUUAUGGCAAUGUUUGAAGUAACAGGGGAAAAAAACUAACAUGACUCUAGCACUAGCGUUUCCAGUCAAAUCCAGUCCGUGGCCUCUAAGCUAAGAAUUGUUUUACCAGGUGUGCAGGGUCUAGCUUAUCAAAUCCUGCACAUUCCAAAGAUAAGCCUGCCCCUUGACCAGCUCCCUAGGAGAUAACCUUUUAAGUUCUUAGAAUAUCCCGCCUCCUGGGUGUGCCUCUGUUUACUUGGAGCCUUGAGCCACAUCAGAUAGUUUAUGAUAACAGUGAUUUUGGGGUGGGGGGACCUUGCACCUCACAGGAGCAGCUUGAUCUCUGGAGGAGCCGGAAGCUGAAUAAGGCCAGCCAAGUGGGUGCUCCAUGCCUGCCAGACCUGCACUGCAAUGGAAGCCCUGGACACGGAGUCUCAGGUAAGUGUCCCUUGUUGACGGGAUGCUCUGCGUGUUGUCCCACAUCUCUUCCGGAAGAAUUAAAUUCGGUCCCUGCAGCUUCUCUGGAGAGGAAACGUGGAGGCUUGUGCAGGUCUCCUGGACUCUUCCUGGUGCCUUUUACAUUUGCUGAUUUUAAAUUUUAUCUUUUUGCUGUAAACUGUAACUGUCAGCCCGACAGCUUUUCUGAGUUCCAUGGGUCAUUGAACUAGAGAGUAAUCUGGGGGCCUCUGACAUGAUAUAUUUAAAGGACUGUGUUUUUAGAAAGAAUAUGCAGGAGUUCCCAUUGUGGCUUAGUGGGUGAAAGACCUGACAUUGUCUCUGUGGGGGUGUGGGUUUGAUCCCUGGCCUCACUCAGUGGGUUAAGGAUCUGGUGUUGCUGCAAGCUGCAGUUAGGCAUAUGCAGCCAGUAAAAUACGUUUUUAAAUAAAUAAAUAGAAUAUGCAGUAGAGACCAUAUGUGUCCUGAGAAGCUUAAAACAUUGCUGUUUGGCCCUUUACAGAAAACUGUUUCCAACUCAUGCAGAAAUGUAACAAAUAAAUACCUAUGUUAUUUUCACACAUUGAAGACAUAACAAUUAAAAUGGAUGAAUAGCUAUGUAAAUAAAUCUCAAACUGUUUUAAAUUAAAAAAUGUAGCAGAAGAAUAAAGCAGUAGGAUACUAUUUAUGUAACUUAAACUAUUGUUAUGAUUAAAUGUGUACGUAAAAUGUAAAAAGCACCAAGAAGGAUGUCCAGGAACCUCAGGAUUGUCCUGAGCUCCAGGGGAAAAAACGGAAUGGAAGGUAAGAAAUUUGUCAGAUUUCAUCCUUAAAAAGAGAGAUUCAGGGGAAAUAACUGAAUCUCAUGAAACAAAUGAAAAGAGUUUAUUUUACUGACUCUUUUGUUUCUUUCCCCAAUCAGCUUAGCUUGGAACUGUAGAAUGAUUGUGAUAAAGAUCUCGGCGGCCUCCCAUUCUUCAGGUUCUCCGUCAAGGCACAGGUCUUGGUCGGUGAAUUGCCCAAAGUCAUGAUAAACUCUUGUUUUGUUGUUUUUGCUUUUUAGGGCCACACUCGCAGUGUAUGGAGGCUCCCAGGCUAGGGGCUGAAUGGGAACUACAGCUGUCGGCCUAUGUCACAGCUCACUGCCACGCUGGCCUCACAAUCCACUGAGCGAGGCCAGGGAUCAAACCCACAUCCUCAUGGUUCCUAGUCGGAUUCAUUUCUGCUGCGCCAUGACGAGAACUCCAUGACGAGAACUCCGAAUUCUUGUUUGUUUAAAGAGAGCAUUCUGUAGGAAGUAUGUUAGUGCUGGCAGGGUCAGUAAUUUUGAACUAUGGGAACCUCUUAAAGGAGUAAGGGCUAUGCUAAUACAUUCCAGAGCUAUAUCAAGUUCUCUUUUAAUUCUGUCCAUCUGUAAAUUGAAGACUAUUGAGAAAUAGGUAUGGAAGAAAGAAAAACAUACAUUCUGAGAAUUCAUGCAGCUAGCUCUUUUACAGAUAGUAAAGCAUGGAUAGGGAGUUCCCUGGUGGCCUAGCGGUUAAGAACUCGGCAUUGUCACUGCUGUGGCUCUGGUUCAGUCCCUGGCCCAGGAACUUCUGCAGCCCUGGGCACAGCCAAAAACAAAGAAAAGCAUGCAUGGCCUCAGGGAUUAAUAUCCUUUAUGCUGGGGGUGAGCUGCUUAAUGCACUCUAGGUUUACAGUGGAGGCAAUAUACCUAAUUUGUAUUUUCUUAAAAUUUCUUUUGCUCUUUGAAGCAGUCGUAGAGAUCAUGCCAAGUUUAGUGUCUGCUGAUAUGUAGACAAUUUAAAAGGUAUUAAAAGUUAAGGAGAUCUAGCUGUGGCUCAGCAGGUUAAGAACCCAACUAGUCUCUAUGAGGAUAUGGAUUCAAUCCCUGGCCUCGCUCAGUGGGUUAACAGGAUCUGGUGUUGCCGCAAGCUGUGACGUAGUCAGAGAUGUGUCUUGGAGCCAGUGUUGCCAUGGCUGUGCUGUAGGCUGGCAGCUGCAGCACUGAUUCAACCCCUAGCCCUGGGAACUUCCAUAUGCUGUAGGUGCGGCUAUAAAAAGAAAAAAAAAAAAAAA
rnacentral:lncRNA from 1 species